UACGUAGGGUGCGAGCGUUGUCCGGAUUUAUUGGGCGUAAAGAGCUUGUAGGCGGCUCGUCGCGUCGGGUGUGAAAACUUGCGGCUUAACCGCAAGCCUGCACCCGAUACGGGCGGGCUAGAGUUCGGCAGGGGAGACUGGAAUUCCUGGUGUAGCGGUGGAAUGCGCAGAUAUCAGGAGGAACACCGGUGGCGAAGGCGGGUCUCUGGACAGUUCCUGACGCUGAGGCACGAAGGCCAGGGGAGCAAACGGG
rnacentral:rRNA from 1 species